GACAAUAUACCAAAGAUUCCUCAAAGCAUUUGGAUCUUCAGGUAAGCAGAAUCCUAAAAAAGGACAAGUGUGUGUGUGUGUGUGUGUGUGUGUGUGUGUGUGUGUGUGCUGGGUGUGCUGGCACACACCCUUAAUCUUAGCACUCCAGCAGGUAGAGGCAGGUAGAUCUUUGAGUUGGAGGCAAAUCUGAUCUCCAGAGUGAGUUCCAGAGUAGCCAGGGAUGCACAGAGAAACCCUGUAUUGGAACAGUAACAAUAAAGAGAAAACAAAAUAAAUUUUCAUGCAAAAAUUAAAAUAUAUAAUUCAUAAUAGUUUAGGGCUGUGAAUCAUGAAAGUUAAUUAUGCUAUAUAUAACUGUAAAGGGUAGGAUGUUAUGCUUUUAGGAUUCAGAUGGAUAUAGCAUAACUCAGAAUAUUGGUUGUAUUUUGACAGUGGAUCUCUAACCUGGCUCCACAAAAGAAUUUACUACAUACAGAGCUUCUGCAAAACGUCCAUCACAGAUACAUUAAAAUCAAAACUUACAGAAAAGAAACUCCUAACGUUAACAUUAUUAUGAAUAUAGUGAUCUGAUAUAAAGCUGGGGGUAGGGUGAGUCAGUAGCUUGAAUGAUGGCCUUCCUUGGUGCCCUUAACCAGAGUUUACCAAGCAUGACUGAUAAUGCCAUGGAAAGCAAACUCCUGGUACAGAGAGACUUAGACUUAACGGGUCCUCACUAAUGGGCACAUAAAUGAAUUGGUGGUAGAGGUGAUACAGUUGUCAGGGAUGGAAAUCUCUAUCUUUGAGAGUCUCUUAAAACAAAGCUUUAAAAAAAUUAUUUAUUUAUUUUAUGUAUAUGAGUACACUGUUGCUGUCUUCAGACACACCAGAAGAGUGCAUCGGAUCCCAUUACAGAUGAUUGUAAGCCACCAUGUGGUUGCUGGGAAUUCAACUCAGGACCUCUGGAAGAGCAGUCAGUGCUCUUAACCACUGAGCCAUCUCUCCAGCCCAAGGCAAAGCACUUCAUAUGAUGAUCCAGAGUCCUAGAAAUAGUUUUGAUACACAUCAUUUUGGUUUACUAAGCUGAAACCUUAACUGGGUCAGACUACUGGGUUCCGGGGUGAUUUCAUCUUUACUGAAAAUAUGACUUUGACCUUGCUUGAUGCAAAACAACUCAAGGUUUGAUUUCUAAAUGGGUUUCCCUGGUUAAAUUUACAAAACAGGGAGACCGCUUUGAUAAAAAUAUGCUUUUGAUGAGAUUUUGGAAUUCAUUGCUGGAUAUACUCUGUGAGUACUUGCACCAUGUCAACUUGAAAGAAAAGAGCAAAUAUAUUAUAUUUUGGGGGAAGGGGAGUUUUUUAUGUUUUAGACAGGGUCCUAUUAUGAAACUCAGGCUAUUCUCAAACUCAAAGGCCUCCUAUCUCAGUCUCCUGGUUGCUAGGACAUUGUCAAGCUUAAAUGAUUAGACUGUCAAACUGAACUGAAUUGCGAGUAAGAUUCUUAAACUGUCCCAUGAUCUAUCACUCUACUCUUCCAUUCUCCACAGGCCAGUGCUUCUCAGGCUUUUCCAUUUGUGUCUGUUAGAUCACCUUUCUCCUUGUGGGAGGUCCAACUCACACAGCCCAUUCUGAGUGGAGCUUAACUUCCUAAUUUGCAACUGUGUCUGUUUCCACUGACCAGCAGUAUUUUAUCUUUUGUGGUUUUGGAGGCCUCUCAAUCCAUCCUUCCUCUAUAAUAGAAAAAGUAGAAAUAGUCACUCUGCAUUUUUCCUCUCCAGUCCUUCUGACACCAACCCCACUUCCUGUUCAGAUAGGGGCUCCUCUACUGGAGGAUAAUGCAACUUGCCACCUGCUCCCUGAUUUCUGUCAAACUGGUAGAGUUUGAACUCUGCCUUGUUGUGUUCUAAGGUUACCUCAGAAUGGAACAUUUGAGAGUUCUUUAGUAUUUCUAAAGUCAACACUACCAGAUAUGCCUGUUCCAGGGCAGGGGAGAUACUGUUUUUAAAAUUGCACUUCAAUACAUCCCUUGACGUGUCCUUGGACUUAUCAGUCAAGACAGACCUUUGAAUCAACAGUUGCUAGCCACUAGGCAUGGUGGUGCAUACCUACUGAGCUAGCAUUUGGGAGAUUAAAGCUAAAGGAUUGCAUCCCAGAGCAGCCUGAGCUAUGAAAGG
rnacentral:lncRNA from 1 species